AAAUAAAGUACUUGCCCCUAUCGAACCAGGAACUUAAACUCAUAUGCAAUUUAUACGAAUUUAUGUUCCUGGUUCAACUCGUAUAACUAAGAGAACGUACCAAAAGCAGAAGCCGCGAACCGAUUUUUCCCUUUCGCUCUUUUUUUCUUUUUGUGUGCAAAUCUUUUUUUCUCUUUUAACAUUAAACCAUCGGGACAAAUCCCUUCCAGCCACGAUAACCAAAGAGACCCAUCGGACCCGAAAUAAAUAUCUUCCAUCGAUCCACCUUGUAGGUUCCUCCAUGAACCACAAGGUUCUCUGAACCUCUGUUGUCUGUAUAAUCGACAGCCUGGUCUGAUUAAGACCCCAUUGAAAACGACGGCAGAACACCUUUUUAACCAAAAAAUCCGCUGAAAUCAAACGGACCCCAAAGAGAGAACUCCCAUCGCUAUACCGAGAAGAGAUCUCGAUUAACCACCAGAAGCCUUGAUCCACCUUCGCCGGAGAAGUCAAACGCAUGGUUGGGUUAGAACCCUAGCGCCGUCGCCUUUGUCAUCGCUUUCUUUUCGCUUUCUGGAAUAAUUUUCAAUUAAGAAUGGAUAUAAAAGUUUUGAUUUUUGUUUUAUAAUUUUCAUAUCAUUUCUUGAAUUUAUCCACAAAUAUAAAAUAUAACGAUAAAUUAAAUUAUAAAAAUUUUCUAUUCAUUCUUAAUUAUUCAUUAAUUAUAAUAAUUAAUAAAUUACGAUAAAUUUUAUAUAAAAAUUAUAAUCUAAAUAUAAAUAUAUUUAGAGAUAAAUUAUAAAAAAUUUCAAUUAAGAAUGAAUAUAAAAGUUUUGAUUUUUGUAAUUUUUGUUUUAUAAUUUUCAUAUCAUUUAUUGAAUUUAUCCACAAAUAUAAAAUAUAACGAUAAUUUUCAUAUAUUUUAUAAAAGGUUGUCGACCAAAUAUAUAAUUUUCGCUAUCUGUUUGACAUUCUUCCACAAUAUCAUAUGAUAUAUAAUGGUUUUACGGUUUGAAUCUUUUCUAGAUUUUUCAGGAUUCUACACGAUAGAUACUAGAAUAGAAAUAAUAGAGUAUUUAGGUUGAAAAAACAAUUAUGAAGCCAAAUCAUAGUAUGAGUGUCGAUCGACACCAUCUUUGGUAUCAGUCGACACCGGUCACGACUUAGAGAAAUCUUGAGAAUUUAACAAGUUUUGAAGAAUUACAUAAUCAUCCAAGAAAACUUCUUUAUUUGUAACCAAGUCUCAAAAAGUUUUGAUAGCUUAUAUAGGGAUUUUUGGGUCAUUGUUUAGACUUAUUUUGCAUUCUACUUUCUAUUCUUGAACUUCAACUUUUUGGGAGAGAAUUAGAGAGAGCUUUGAUUCAGAAUUCAAUACUUGUAGAGAGAAGAUCUUCUUAACUCUUAAUAUCUUAUUUAUUUUUUUAUGCAAUUCUUUUCAAACAUGUGUUUUGUUUCUAUGAUCAAGUCUGAACAGUCUGCUUGUUAGUGUUAAGGAUUUUUUUAGGCUUUUUGAUGAAUCGUUAAAUCUGAUUUAAUAGUUAGGUUGAAUCAAUAGAGUUCUUCAUCUAGGAUUGUUCUUAUUGCUUAUUCUAAAUUAGCUGCCUAGAAUAUGAUCUUAGGAUUAAUUAGCACGAGAGUAUGAUUUUUCCAAAACUAUCAUAGGUGAACAAAAAUAACUAUUCUCAAAGAGAUUUGGUUUAGAGAUUUUUGUGAACUAAUCAAACAUGUUCUUAAUGCUUGUUUAGUUUUAGGAAUUUACAAAGAGAUUUAAAAUUAUAGAUUUUAGACAUAGUAAAUAUCUGCAACGAGAGUUGAUUGAUUUUAUUUUUAUGAUUUGAGUUCUAGAAUUGUUCUUAAUAAUUCCUAGCAAUUUAUCUAAUCUACAAUUCUGAUUUUUUUAAAGAAAUUCCUUGAGCCUAAAUAUUUUCUCGUCUGAAUUUACAACCAGUUUUAAUUGCUUUUCGUGUUUUAAUUUUAAUUAAUUCAUGUUUACUUUGAUUUAAAAAUUAAAAAUCUAUUAUGUGAACAAAUAAACUUUGCGAAAAUUCGACCCAUAAAUGCUAUAGUGAUUUCUUAUUUGAGGGAGUGGCUCGAAGGUAAUUUGAGCAUAUCAAUAUACAAGAUGAAAACACUCUUAAUCUCUCUACUUUAAUAUCUUUUAUUUUUGAAUUAAUUUUAUUUGUCAACCAAAUUAUUUGUUCUCUUUCAAUUUAAAUAAAUUAAUAUAUAUGUAUACCUAAGCAUGCAACAUGCUCUUUUCUUUAAAUAAAUAUAAUUAUAACAAAUUAACUAAUUAAGUUACUGAUCGAAUAAUUCGCUGACUUGGUGAUUUUAAAAAGUCGUUUUCUUUUUUGGAUAAAACUCGAAAAAUACUCCAUCUAUUUUUUAGAACAUUUUUAAUUUUUUUGUUGAAAAAGUAACUCAUUUAAUUAUAUUUAUUCUAAAAAUAUUUCAUCACUGAAUUUAUUGGUUGAUUCAAAUCCGCGACUUACCGAGCGUUAUGGAAUAAGUAAACGCUGUUAAGUUUUAAUGGAAAAAAUAUUCACCUAUAUUUUUGGAUGUUUAAUAUCUUUAUUGGAAGAAAAUACCUCAUUUAAAUAUAUUUGGUCUAAAAAUACUUUAUCUUUGAAUUGUAGGUGGAUUCAAGCGCACGAUUUAACAGCCAUUAAAAGAAUCAUUGAACGCGUUAAAUGUUAACUUUAUGUGUUUAAAUUGAUUUAUAUAAUCUUUAUCCAAAAUUUUAUAAAUAUAAUCGCAAGGUCCGGUGGUAACAACUAGCAAGUGAAUUAUUAAGAUAUUACAAAUAUAAUUAAAUAAAUUAUUUUUCUUUCAAUAAAUAAAUUUUUUGUAUCAAACGUCGAAAUAAAAAAUAAAUAGAGUAUUUUUCCUUUUUUCAAGAACUCCAAAGUACAUAAAGUAUGACAUUAUACUGAACCGAUUAAUC
rnacentral:lncRNA from 1 species